rnacentral:lncRNA from 1 species
AGAGCGUUAAAAGAGCGAACUGUUAGUGGGAUUUUGCUCUGGGUAAAGCCCUUUGAAUGUAUUCGACAAUAAAUACUGCUGAACAUAAACCCUUACCGGAAAAAAAUCUGGUAUCAUUACAAUAUUUUGGUUUGCUUUAUAAACGCGGUGUGUGUGAACGUCUGGUACCUGUUGCGCGGCUGCAGUUUGACCUCUCCGCUUGCCGUAGUUUAAAUCCUCUCGACCUCUGACUUGCAGUAAACUUAUCCACUUCCUGCUCGCCGUCCCAGUCUUAAUAGACUGAAAAGGCGAUGUGUUUGAAGGAAAGGGAUUCUAUUUCGAUUGAUUUGGGCUGAACUUGAGCACAAGAUGAGCUGGAUUCCUUUCAAAAUCGGACAACCAAGGAAACAGAUUGUUUCGAAAACGGUUGAAAGGGACUUUGAGCGGGAAUAUGAGAAGCUCCAAAAGUGGAGUCCCGGUACAAAGUGUUGAAAGGCAUAUAUCAGACACGCAAACACUUGCGGUGUGGGCACGGACAUGUAGGGGCCUGAACUCUUGUCUGAGAGGGCCGCUCCUUUGGUUUGAUUGCUAUCAGAAUACCACCUAUUAUGCAACCACACACACUCCACGAGUAUGUGAUGCCCGUUGUCUUCGUGAAACACUUUCAUGGUUGUGGUACUGGAGGGGGUGCACUACAUUGAUCCAUAUUCAGUCAGUCAUUCAUUCAUUCAUUUAGUUUUAAAAAUUAAAAUGUAUUCACCCUCAAGUAUUUCCAAACCUGUAUCACUUUCUUUCUUCUGUAGAACACAAAAGAAGAUAUUUUGUAGAUUGAGCUAGUUGCUGUUUUCCAUUUCCAGUUGCAAUGAAUGAAGACUAAAGGCCCAUUCACACCAAAGAUAAACUAUAACAAUAUAGUUUUAAAAAUAAAUCUGAAUGUAAAAGAAUAGCAGAGUCCACACCACAACUGUUAUGAUAAUGGCACAGAGGAAUUAUAUCUGGAAUCACUUUCACAGCAGUUUUUUUUUUUUUUUUCAUGAAAUGAUGAACAAUUAAAACAUUGAGAGCCAAUCAGAAUCAAUCCUGCUUUAAAGAGCUCAAGCAUUUAAAGCGGGAGAUGACAAAACUGCAGUGCACUUAACAAAAACAGAAAUUACUCAUAUUUUGGUGUGGACACAGAUAUAGUUAACAUUAUAGUUAUCUUUAUAUUUCUAGUUCUUGGUGUGAAUAGGCCUAAAACUUUCAAGCUUAAAAAACGUACCAUAAUAACACCAUAAAAUAGUCCAUAAUUCUAUUUUCUACCAUGUUUUCUAAGU